UUAGAGCUCCACUGCAGCCAUAGUCAUCUAGAAAACGAAUGAGAACCAUAUACAUGCAUCUUUCUCAGAUAGUUGCAAACAGCUGGGCGAGCCAAGGAAACUCAUCAAGUUCGGCGAUUUCGCCGCCGUAAAUUCUAUUAGUCACUUGCUUGCCGCACUCAUGCAGCAAAUUGAAUCCCGAACUUGGCUCCACAGUCUGAAUCCUACGCUUGAGUUUCUUGCGCUUGAAACGAGCGGUGACAUCGAGGAACCUACGAUACUCAAACUUGGAGAACUGCAGCACGGGAAAUAGGUAAUCCUGGCCAUUUGCCGGGCAGCAAACGAGGGAUUCGUAGGCAACCUGCGGCUCCGAGACUUGCUGCUCCACCAUCUCGCACUGCACCUUCUUCAGGAAGUUGACCUUCUCCGCGGGCAAAUUGGUGGCAUUGCGCACCUGCAGAUACGCCUUGCACCUGCUGACCUCCAUGCAAACGCCCCGCUUCGUCUCAUUGGGUAUAUCGCACUCCUGCAGGACUUCGCCGGCGGCCAGGAAGCGGUUGCAACAGCCGAAGAGUAUCCAUAGUCGCAGCACCGAACCGAGCAUGGGUAACAGUAUCUAUAUAUCUAUAUAGCUUGAUCCGCAGAUACAAUCCAAAUCCAAAUACAAAUCCAAAACCAAAUCCGUUUGUCGGGCAAGAAGAAGCGGCGGCAAAGGCUUACGAACCGAAACUGAAUGGCAACGCAGUUGGUUUAAGCGUAGUGCCAAAACCAAAAACCAAAAAGCGAAAAGCCGAAGACCCCUAAAAAUCGGAAGAGCCGAAGAGCGACCCCCGUGUUUUCAGUCUUCAGUCUACAGUCUACAGUCUCCGGUCUUUAGUCUGCAAUCUUCAGUCUUCACUCCACCAGCUGAAAGCUCCAACUCAGGUGUCAACAAAUGAGACGCCCCCGCCCCACUUAGGCGGCGAAAAAACGAGUCCAAAAGUGCAGUAGUCGGCGGGCAGGCAGGUCGACGGAUAGCGAUACCGAUAGCGAUCGUCCGGCUGGUCCGGUUAUAGUAUGUAUAUUAUUGCAUAACCACAACUCAGCUGGCCAGCUGGUUUCACUUUCGUUCAAGGCGAGAUUCAGACUCUGGUGCUGUUCAAAGCUUCGCUUGCCCAAGAUUGCCCACUUUUAGGCGGCAAUAUCUUUACGGCAAAGCUUUGGUUUUUGGCCAAAGUCCAUGUACAUGGCUCAAAACAAAACAAAACACACCUGCUCGAGAAACCGGAAGUUUUCUUGUGGUUUUCUGGCGCCAAUUAAAGCGCGGUGGCAAUGUCAUUUGGACCGCGAUUGUCGAAGCUGUCGCCUUCAGCUGGGAAAUCCAAAGGUUUUCGCCGCAGUUCAGUCACCUUCUUGGGGUGUUAUAAACAUAAAGUGCUUUAACUGAACUGAUAUUAACUCAUAUUAAUAAAUUUAUAUAUAUAUAAUAUAUCCGUUUAUAAAUCAAAGCAAA